rnacentral:rRNA from 1 species
GACGAACGCUGGCGGCGUGCUUAACACAUGCAAGUCGAACGGAAAGGCCUUUUCGGAGGUACUCGAGUGGCGAACGGGUGAGUAACACGUGGGUGAUCUGCCCUGCACUCUGGGAUAAGCCUGGGAAACUGGGUCUAAUACCGGAUAGGACCGCCCUUUAGUGUGUGUGGUGGCAAGUUUUUUCGGUGUAGGAUGAGCCCGCGGCCUAUCAGCUUGUUGGUGGGGUAAUGGCCUACCAAGGCGGCGACGGGUAGCCGGACUGAGAGGUUGGUCGGCCACAUUGGGACUGAGAUACGGCCCAGACUCCUACGGGAGGCAGCAGUGGGGAAUAUUGCACAAUGGGCGCAAGCCUGAUGCAGCGACGCCGCGUGGGGGAUGACGGCCUUCGGGUUGUAAACGCCUUUCGCCAGGGACGAAGCGUUUUGUGACGGUACCUGGAGAAGAAGCACCGGCUAACUACGUG